UAGACAGCAGACGCCGUCGGGUCCAGUGUCAGAUGAGAGCGCUGUCCGGGCUGGCUGGGGCAGCUUGUGGCCCGGGCACUGUGCGAUGCUGGGGAGGGGGAGGCUGAGGUGGGCCUCGUUCUGCGGUGUGCAGAAGGUGUGCGUGUCCUCGUGUGUGUUACGGGAGCUCUGGAGGCUGGCGUGAGCGUGUGUAGACUCGAGGCAGCUCCGAGCCGGUGUGCACGGGGCCCUGAGGCAUGGGACCCGGUGCUGGGGUUUGUUCCUGCAGACCGUGAGUCCGGGCUGGUGGUCGGGCCCUCGGGGGCAGGAGCAGGCGGCGGGCUCCGUCAGCCUUACAAGUCUGGAGCUUUCUAACGGGAGGCGGAGGCGCUCUAGGCAAAGGGUGGUUGGGUUCCUAGAAAGAGAGAUUGUCUGGGAAACACGGGGUGGGCCCUUGAUUCGCGUGGUUCCUCCCACACAGGAAGCGGAGAGCCUUGGCUGCGGAGACCCGAGAGUGUGCGUGCAGAAUAAUCUGCAGCAGUCAGUGUUUUCUCUGUUUCUCGAGGGCUUGACGCUCUCCUUUGGUCCGUGGUGCCAGUGUCCAUUCCACAGCAUCACACGGGGGGUGUGUUCCAGAAGGAGCGCUGCGUCGGGAAGUGCGAAGGCUUGCGGGCGCCCUGGAGGCCACUGUCAGAGAAACACACAGUCCCUGAAAGUCACUUUCUGGGUGCCCCGAUCGCCAUAUGGUACUUCUCAGGAGCCCCCUUCCAACACACACGCACGGGCACACGGGAGUCCCGGGAUGACAGAGUUAGAAGAGCUUCUAGAAGACUUGGAGAGCGGGCGCCUUGGGAUGUGGAUUUGUUGGCUAAAACUGCCUAUUUCUUCCUAAUCGCUUGGCAGGCGAGGUGGUGCCAGUGCCUGGAGUGGAUGAGACGGCGCCCCGCAGAGAUCACAGUCCCUUCUUUCUUCUUUAGGUCUCAAUGAAGCGUCCAGCACAGGCCCUGGGAACCGAGACAGUGUGAUUGUGAGAGGCCAGCAGCGGGCGGGUAGGGCCGGAUGUGGCGGGGAAAGAAGACAAAAAGGUUAUCUGUCUGCGUUCCCUCCGCUUGCGGGACCCUAAGGCAGCACCUCCGUGUCAGGCUGCGCUGUCCUCCUCCGGGUCUGGGGCACUGACGUCUUCCCACUGCCCUCUGUCUGCAUGCAGGGGGGCAGUGCCCUGCCCCCAGCCUGCCCCCCCCAAGCCAGGUCCCCAGUGUGAUGAUGUGAUGACGCGGAGCCUUUGGGAGGCGUGUCGGGCACGGGGGGGGGGGGGCGCUCGUGAAUGGGAUGGGAGCCCCCUCGCCCAUCCUGCCCGUGAGGACAUGGCGAGUGGGAGGCCACCUGAACCAGACAGAGGCUGUCACCAGACCCCGAACCUUCCGGCAUCUUGAGCUCGGACUUCCAGCCUCCACAGCUGUGAGAUACGAGUGUCCGUUGUUUACGAGCCGCCCGUCCGAGGGGACGGUUACGAGGGUGGUUGGAGUGAACGAAGAUAGGCAGUGACAGCUGGUCACCAGUUCUACGGGAGUUGGGCCUACUCUGUUGGUCACACGUGAAUUGGAUCCCCGGCAAGGACCCGAAUGAGCACAUCACCGAUCCUGGGGGUUAGGCGUAUCCAAAAGGGGACACAGUUCAGCCCGUAACACCAACGGCAGGCGCAGGGGUACACGAUUGUACAUGUUUGUAUGUUGCUGUGUGUUUGGCUCACAAGGGAACGCUCACCAACGAGGGCUGCAAGAAACCAGUUGGCGUUUCCUCCGUGGCACUGGGAGGGGACGGUUGCCGGCACAGGUCCUGCUGCACCGUGCUGCUCACGAGAACUGGCUUCUGCUCUUGUUGCCCUCUGUCCUCCGCGUGUCGGCCUAUGCCCUCAUGCUGGGCACCCCGGGGUCCAGAGGGCUCACCACAACUCCCAGCUCACGGGUGUGUGUUGAAGGUGGCAAGAGAAGUAUGUGUGUGUGUGGGGGGGAGUUUGGUGUCGCCUGCAUCUGUCCUUUUGAUCAGAGAACAACAGGCCUUUGGGGAAGCCCUGCAACGGCCUCUGUGUGUGUCCCAUUGAAGUGGGCUUCCUGGCAGACCCCAGGGUGUGAGAAGCUGGGGGAGCCAGAGGCCAUGGGAGCCAGAAGGACCGUCCUCACGAGAACUGGACAGCACGGUACGUGAAGCCAGCUGCCCAGCGUCUGCAUGGCCAGGCUGUGCCAGCGUCCGUUGCCCUUGCUGGUCUCACCUGUUCUCAUCUGGAAGGCAGGAAUCCCCACGGGACGAGGUCCAGACCAGCCUGCGCAUGGGUCGCGUGGCUCACGUGGCCCCGGUGUCUUGCCAGUGUCGCGUAAGCCCAUCUGAGCCUUCCCUGAUUUGUAGUUUUGGGUGCGGUGAGGAGCAGAAAAUCACGUCCUGUCCUGUCCGUGUCUGUGUCCCCCUCGCAGCUGGCACGGAGCCUGGCACGGGGUAGCUGCUCCGUAAGUGUUUGCAGACCUUAACUAGGCCUCUCCACCCUUCACAGGCCUCGGGGUCCAGGAGCAGUCUCAGCCGUUGCUCCAUCCCUUCUGUUCUUUGGCCCUUUCCCUUGGUCGACCUCCUGCGUUCCAAGGUGGAUGAAGGGACAUCCAGUACGGACCUCUGCAGCCUUCGGCAUCAUGCAAGUUCCAGUUUCGCUCCAGUGAGGACGACCAGUAGGGACCCACAGCAAUCCCUUGUCAUCUGGCAGCGUCGCUCACCCUCCACUCCCUCCGCCUGUGAAAUAGGUCAACAUCUAAGGCUCACGCAGUUUAUUAAUGCCCAAUAAAUACCCACCGCGUCCUCAGCCAGGUCCUGGGCUGUGGAAGGUGCAAACGUCAACGCCUCAGAAGGAAGUGUUGUCAGUUUGUUCUUAAAUGAGCUUGCCCUCCCCCGGGCAGCGGAGGGGCCAGGGGGCCAGUUCUUAUCUGUUAAUCCUUUAAUCGCUCCCAGGACUCUUUCUCCUUUGGCCCAGCGCCCUGUUUCCUUCACAGUGACCUUGUUUUCUCUCCGUCACGGCCACGUGCGUGCUUGCGGGUACGGGCUUUCUCUGGGGGCACAGGCACGGGCACCGGCGUGGGCUGUGUCCUGCCGGCCUGGCACAUGGGCUGCUCUCCCGGGGACUGUUUAUCCGGCGAAGGUGGGACGUCUUCUGGCUACAACAGAGCAAACCCGACCAGAUGGGCAGAGGGGAGGGCGUGUGGAGGGCUGCACCGUGCAGGCGGAGGCCGCUGGCUUCGCGGGUCCUGAGCCCUUCCACGGAGGCCAGUCCCAAGGGACCUGCUGUGUGUGUGGAGAAAUGCACGGCCAGUUUCCAAGAGCUGGCGUGAAAACCGGUGUAAAUGAAAGCAAUCUCAGGAAUAACAUUUACAUGAUUACAUGUUAACGUGAUUUUAUUUUACUCAUUUGAAUAAAAUGUUACUAACAUUAA